rnacentral:rRNA from 1 species
GGGGUGCGUAGGGCGGCCUGUUAAGUCGAGGGGUGAAAGACGGUAGCUCAACUAUCGCAGUGCCCUUGAUACUGAUGGGCUUGAAUUGACUAGAGGUAGGCGGAAUGUGACAAGUAGCGGUGAAAUGCAUAGAUAUGUCACAGAACACCGAUUGCGAAGGCAGCUUACUAUGGUCUUAUUGACGCUGAGGCACGAAAGCGUGGGGAUCAAACAGGAUUAGAUACCCUGGU